UACGUAGGUGGCAAGCGUUGUCCGGAUUUACUGGGCGUAAAGGGCGUGCAGGCGGAUUUGUAAGUCAGAGGUGAAAUCUUACGGCUUAACCGUGAAACUGCCUUUGAUACUGCAGAUCUUGAGUUUGGGAGAGGUUGAUGGAAUUCCAGGUGUAGCGGUGAAAUGCGUAGAUAUCUGGAAGAACACCAGUGGCGAAGGCGGUCAACUGGCCCAUAACUGACGCUCAGGCACGAAAGCGUGGGUAGCGAACAGG
rnacentral:rRNA from 1 species